rnacentral:rRNA from 1 species
AGUGAACGCUGGCGGUAGGCCUAACACAUGCAAGUCGAACGGCAGCACAGAGGAGCUUGCUCCUUGGGUGGCGAGUGGCGGACGGGUGAGGAAUACAUCGGAAUCUACUCUGUCGUGGGGGAUAACGUAGGGAAACUUACGUUAAUACCGCAUACGACCUACGGGUGAAAGCAGGUGAUCUUCGGACCUUGCGCGAUUGAAUGCGCCGAUGUCGGAUUAGCUAGGUGGCGGGGGAAAGGCCCACCAAGGCGACGAUCCGUAGCUGGUCUGAGAGGACGAUCAGCCACACUGGAACUGAGACACGGUCCAGACUCCUACGGGAGGCAGCAGUGGGGAAUAUUGGACAAUGGGCGCAAGCCUGAUCCAGCCAUACCGCGUGGGUGAAGAAGGCCUUCGGGUUGUAAAGCCCUUUUGUUGGGAAAGAAAUCCAUCUGGUUAAUACCCGGGUGGGAUGACGGUACCCAAAGAAUAAGCACCGGCUAACUUCGUGCCAGCCGCCGCCGUAA